rfam:Trichomalopsis sarcophagae strain Alberta scaffold13235, whole genome shotgun sequence.
CAAUCGGCCCUUUUCAGGGCCACCAUCUCUCUCUUUACAGCGCAG